rnacentral:rRNA from 1 species
GAUGAACGCUGGCGGCGUGCCUAAUACAUGCCAGUCGAGCGAACGGACGAGAAGCUUGCUUCUCUGAUGUUAGCGGCGGACGGGUGAGUAACACGUGGAUAACCUACCUAUAAGACUGGGAUAACUUCGGGAAACCGGAGCUAAUACCGGAUAAUAUUUUGAACCGCAUGGUUCAAAAGUGAAAGACGGUCUUGCUGUCACUUAUAGAUGGAUCCGCGCUGCAUUAGCUAGUUGGUAAGGUAACGGCUUACCAAGGCAACGAUGCAUAGCCGACCUGAGAGGGGAUCGGCAACACUGGAACUGAGACACGGUCCAGACUCCUACGGGAGGCAGCAGUAGGGAAUCUUCCGCAAUGGGCGAAAGCCUGACGGAGCAACGCCGCGUGAGUGAUGAAGGUCUUCGGAUCGUAAAACUCUGUUAUUAGGGAAGAACAUAUGUGUAAGUAACUGUGCACAUCUUGACGGUACCUAAUCAGAAAGCCACGGCUAACUACGCG